AUACGUAGGGAGCGAGCGUUGUCCGGAAUUACUGGGUGUAAAGGGAGCGUAGGCGGGAGUGCAAGUCAGAUGUGAAAUACAUGGGCUCAACCCAUGGGCUGCAUUUGAAACUGCAUUUCUUGAGUGAAGUAGAGGUAAGCGGAAUUCCUGGUGUAGCGGUGAAAUGCGUAGAUAUCAGGAGGAACACCGGUGGCGAAGGCGGCUUACUGGGCGUUUACUGACGCUGAGGCUCGAAAGCGUGGGGAGCAAACAGGAUUAGAUACCCUGGUAGUCCACGCUGUAAACGAUGAUUACUAGGGGUGGGGGGACUGACCCCUUCCGUGCCGCAGUUAACACAAUAAGUAAUCCACCCGGGGAGUACGGCCGCAAGGUUGAAACUCAAAUGAAUUGACGGGG
rnacentral:rRNA from 1 species